GACGAACGCUGGCGGCGUGCUUAACACAUGCAAGUCGAACGGAAAGGCCCUGCUUUUGUGGGGUGCUCGAGUGGCGAACGGGUGAGUAACACGUGAGUAACCUGCCCUUGACUUUGGGAUAACUUCAGGAAACUGGGGCUAAUACCGGAUAGGAGCUCCUGCUGCAUGGUGGGGGUUGGAAAGUUUCGGCGGUUGGGGAUGGACUCGCGGCUUAUCAGCUUGUUGGUGGGGUAGUGGCUUACCAAGGCUUUGACGGGUAGCCGGCCUGAGAGGGUGACCGGGCAACAUGGGGAGGGGUAUACGCCACGGCCUCAGCCGGGAGAAGGAGGGGGGAAAUAUGGCAAAUGGGGGGGACGCGGAAGGCAGCAACCCGGGGUGGGGGAGGACGGCUUGGGGUUGUUAACCGGUUUCCGCCUGGACGGAAGGGGGGGGGAGGGUAGGGGGAAAAGAGCCACGGACUAACUAGGUG
rnacentral:rRNA from 1 species